UACGUAGGGUGCGAGCGUUGUCCGGAGUUACUGGGCGUAAAGAGCUCGUAGGCGGUUUGUCGCGUCGGCCGUGAAAUCCUGCUGCUCAACGGCAGGCGUGCGGUCGAUACGGGCAGACUUGAGUUCGGCAGGGGAGACUGGAAUUCCUGGUGUAGCGGUGAAAUGCGCAGAUAUCAGGAGGAACACCGGUGGCGAAGGCGGGUCUCUGGGCCGAUACUGACGCUGAGGAGCGAAAGCGUGGGGAGCGAACAGG
rnacentral:rRNA from 1 species